GCAGCUUGCUGCUUCGCUGACGAGUGGCGGACGGGUGAGUAAUGUCUGGGAAACUGCCCGAUGGAGGGGGAUAACUACUGGAAACGGUAGCUAAUACCGCAUAAUGUCGCAAGACCAAAGAGGGGGACCUUCGGGCCUCUUGCCAUCGGAUGUGCCCAGAUGGGAUUAGCUUGUUGGUGAGGUAACGGCUCACCAAGGCGACGAUCCCUAGCUGGUCUGAGAGGAUGACCAGCCACACUGGAACUGAGACACGGUCCAGACUCCUACGGGAGGCAGCAGUGGGGAAUAUUGCACAAUGGGCGCAAGCCUGAUGCAGCCAUGCCGCGUGUAUGAAGAAGGCCUUCGGGUUGUAAAGUACUUUCAGCGGGGAGGAAGGCGUUGUGGUUAAUAACCACAGCGAUUGACGUUACCCGCAGAAGAAGCACCGGCUAACUCCGUGCCAGCAGCCGCGGUAAUACGGAGGGUGCAAGCGUUAAUCGGAAUUACUGGGCGUAAAGCGCACGCAGGCGGUCUGUCAAGUCGGAUGUGAAAUCCCCGGGCUCAACCUGGGAACUGCAUUCGAAACUGGCAGGCUUGAGUCUCGUAGAGGGGGGUAGAAUUCCAGGUGUAGCGGUGAAAUGCGUAGAGAUCUGGAGGAAUACCGGUGGCGAAGGCGGCCCCCUGGACGAAGACUGACGCUCAGGUGCGAAAGCGUGGGGAGCAAACAGGAUUAGAUACCCUGGUAGUCCACGCCGUAAACGAUGUCUAUUUGGAGGUUGUGCCCUUGAGGCGUGGCUUCCGGAGCUAACGCGUUAAAUAGACCGCCUGGGGAGUACGGCCGCAAGGUUAAAACUCAAAUGAAUUGACGGGGGCCCGCACAAGCGGUGGAGCAUGUGGUUUAAUUCGAUGCAACGCGAAGAACCUUACCUGGUCUUGACAUCCACAGAACUUGGCAGAGAUGCCUUGGUGCCUUCGGGAACUGUGAGACAGGUGCUGCAUGGCUGUCGUCAGCUCGUGUUGUGAAAUGUUGGGUUAAGUCCCGCAACGAGCGCAACCCUUAUCCUUUGUUGCCAGCGGUCCGGCCGGGAACUCAAAGGAGACUGCCAGUGAUAAACUGGAGGAAGGUGGGGAUGACGUCAAGUCAUCAUGGCCCUUACGACCAGGGCUACACACGUGCUACAAUGGCAUAUACAAAGAGAAGCGACCUCGCGAGAGCAAGCGGACCUCAUAAAGUAUGUCGUAGUCCGGAUUGGAGUCUGCAACUCGACUCCAUGAAGUCGGAAUCGCUAGUAAUCGUGGAUCAGAAUGCCACG
rnacentral:rRNA from 1 species